AGCCAUGACUCCGGUUCUGAGCUCGGGCCGGGGGCAGCGGAGGGAACACGGUUGAGGACCUCGGGUGACGCGCAGGCUUCUGGGUUGGAUAACCGGGUAGAUGGUGGCACCUGUGAUCGCUUAACGGUUGGCUUCGUCUUUGUAGUGAAGGCGCUCUAAAGCAGGGCCCUGCUGCCUUGCUGACCCCGGGCCACCUAGCACAGGGCAAGGCACAUGGAGUGGCCCAGUAGGUAUUUACUGCAGUCGAUAGAAGUGAGGAUUACAUGUGUGUUGGGAGCAGGGACAAGGGAGGAGGGAGUGUUCACUUUUGGAUAUGUUGGUGAGAUGAUGACAUCCAGGGGAGGCAUCAGUGGGCACCUGGGCAGAGGCGAAUGAAGCCCAGGAGCCAAGGAUGUGGCACAUGGAGCAACGGGCCUGGGCGAGCUGGUCCAAGGUGUGCAUGGAUGGGGACAGGUGAGGGGGAGCUGGAGCCCAGAGAGGUGGAGGGACAGCAGAGCCUGGUGUCACAGAAACCACAGGAGGCUAUCCCAGGAGGGAAUGUCUGCGGGUUGGGGGAACGGGGCCUUCAGAGAAUCAGGAGACACCUGGCGAGGAGGGAUUGUAGGGACAGAUGCUGGCUGGGAGGAGUGGUUCGGGCAGCAGGGUCCACUGUAAUUGGAAAUAACAGGAAAAACAGAUGAAUGCCAACCCCUCAGGGGCCAAGAAAUCUCAGGGGAGAGCAGGACAGGUGACAAACCUGGGAGGGGUUGUUUCAAGUUGGCGAGGUGUCCGUUUCACAGUGCUGAUAGGAAGGUGCUGCAGCAGAGGACAGAGACACAAAGGAGGGGAGUUGAGGGUGCCAGGCAGAGAAGGAGAAGGGGGUGAGGACCUAGGCAGCCCUGGGACUGCCCUUAGGGUGGGCCCCUCCAUCGGUAGUGGCCUGUUUUCUUGCCUAGUGCGGGGAGGCUGACAGCAUUCUGACUAAAAUGAGAUUCUCUGUGAGGUAGGAGGGGAGGGAAGAGGGCUUCAGUCAGUGCUUAGAAGAUGCAGGGAGACCCCACCCCACCCCACGGUCAGGUGGUACUAGGUCCCCACUGGAGUGGGAGAAGGCAGUUCAGUCAUGCACAUCACGUGGCUGCUACUACCCUCAUCACAUUUAGUCCUCACAACACCCCUGUGAGGUAGGUAUUAUUGCCCCAUCUUACAGAUGAGGAAACUGAGGCUCACACAUGCCUAGGGGCACACAGUCAACAGGGAGGUCUGCAAUCCCUAUGCUGGGAUUCCCUUACUCAACCAUGCCUGACCCAGGAUGGUCAGAAUUCUACUACAGUAGCAAAAAGAGCUCCUACAGGGAAAUCAACACCCAGAAAAGCCUCACGGAGUCAGCAUCUCCCUGUCCCUGUCGUUUUGGUUCAAGAGCAUUUGGGGGACACUCCUGGCUAAGUGGUUCUUUCUGACAUUUUCGAGAGGAAGCAAAAGCUUUCAGCAGGGCUCCACGUCGGCACCAGCUGCGGGGCAAAAUGGAAGCGCUGAUUUUGGAACCCUCCCUGUAUACUGUCAAAGCCAUCCUGAUUCUGGACAAUGAUGGAGAUCGACUUUUUGCCAAGUACUAUUAUGACACCUACCCCAGUAUCAAGGAGCAAAAGGCCUUUGAGAAGAACAUUUUCAACAAGACCCACCGGACUGACAGUGAAAUUGCCCUCUUGGAAGGCCUGACAGUGGUAUACAAAAGCAGCAUCGAUCUCUAUUUCUAUGUGAUCUGCAGCUCUUGUGAAAAUGAGCUGAUGCUCAUGGCUGUUCUGAAUUGCCUCUUUGACUCCUUGAGCCAGACGCUGAGAAAAAAUGUAGAAAAGCGAGCUCUGCUGGAGAACAUGGAGGGGCUCUUCUUGGCUGUGGAUGAAAUCGUAGACGGAGGGGUGAUCCUGGAGAGCGAUCCCCAGCAAGUGAUACACUGGGUGGCAUUAAGGGGAGAAGAUGUACCCCUUACAGAGCAGACCGUGUCUCAGGUGCUGCAGUCAGCCAAAGAACAGAUCAAGUGGUCACUCCUUUGGUGAAGACCCCACUGUUCCUGGCUCCUCACUCCCUCAAAAAAUCCACAUGUCUGCUGUAACUUCUCAUCCAGCCCCACAAAUGAUGCUCUCAGGGUCAUCUCGGGGAUAACAGGGAUCCUUAAAUCUCCAUCCUUUCUGUGGUUGCCCCCUCGCAAACCCGUAUACGCUUCCCGUUCCUUCUCACUCUUUUUUGCAGUCCUGGGAGUAAAGCUCUUAGCAGAUUUGGACACAGGGCAGGGGAAGCACCCUCUUCCUUGCUCGACUGGAUUAUACUCCCAUGCUCUCCUAUCCCCCAUAUUUUCUCCUCCACUUCUGUGCCCUUUGCUGCAGCUACACUUCAGAUCAAAGCAGGAGAAAGAAUGUGCUGAGUGUUUUCCUCCCUUUGCCUUUACCCGGCCUUCAUCCCAACAGUCCAUAUGUCCAGCAAGGGGAGAGAGAGAGAAUUCUUUUCUAUAGAAGGAGUGCGGGUGGGGAGAGGCAUAUGAAGUCUCAGCCACAGCCCCGCUUGCUGGACUUGGUAUUUUCUCCCAUUCCUUUUUACUGCCAGGCCUCCAGCCUUGGAAAAAAGAUUGGGAACAGCUCAUAGUCAGGGGACAGAGUGGAAGGAGCAGUGAUUUAAAUAUUAUUGGACAGAGCUUAUAAAAUUCUGUAUUUCAGACACAGCUGCAUUUUUUACCCUCAUCCUGGCUUAUACCUUCAAAACUGCUGUGGUCUGUGAGUGUUCGGUGUGGGAGUGUCUGUCUCUCCGUCUGAUACCUUAACUUUCCACCUUCACUACCCCUGCGAGCUCUGCCUGGCUUGCCCUGUCUGUGCCCUGGAGCAAAGCCAGUCCCUGAUCUAAAAUGCCAUUCCAGUCUUGGGAAGAAGAGUUUCUGCUCAGAACUGGGGAUAGGGUGGAAUUUAUGACUUGGGCCUCUGGGCUCUCUCAGUCCCCUUCUCUCUCCCACAUGCACCUCACUCCUCUGCCUUGGGUCUGCGAUCUCUGCUGCUUAACCCUGUCCUCCCUCUGCCUCAGCCUUACAUCCGGGCAGUAGGUCUGGGCGCCUCCCUUCCCUAGGUCGCUGAGAGAGGUGCCUUUCUUCAGAAGACCUUUGGGAUUUGGCUU